GCCCGGCUAGCUCGAUCGGUAGAGCGUGGGACUUAUGGCUCAAACAGUUAGGCAUCUCAAGGUUAGGGGUUCGACCCCCCCCCCCCCCC